AUACUACAACAUAACCCUUAUGCUCAAGCUUUUAGAAGCAUUGGUGUUGUUCCGAAUCUGGAUGAAUAUAGGAUCUCACUGAACACAGAUAUCAACCUUGAUCAGCGAAGGUACAAUGCACCAACUACUUCGCAGGUAGCAGCAAUAUGGGUUGAAGGAAGUGACCCUCAAAAUACCUUUGAUAGGAGUGUUGUCGGUCUUGUUGACACUGUCUAUGCUGGCGAGUCACAUGGUGAUCGGAUUGGCAAGAGAAUAGUGCUUCCACGUACAUUUCCUGGUGGUGACCGUGACAUGCCGCGCAGGUUUCUGGAUGCGAUGGCAAUAGUACAACGAUGGGGUAAACCGGAUUAUUCUAUCACCAUGACAUGCGAUCCCUACUGGGAGGAGAUAACUAAGGAAAUGUUGCUUGGACAACUACCGCAAGAUCGUCCAGACCUUGUGGCAAGAAUAUACAAAGCUAAACAGCGAAGUAUGAUGGACCUACUAAUUAAAGGUAAGCAUUUCGGAGAAGUUGCGGCUUAUGUACAUGUCACCGAGUUUCAGAAACGAGGUCUCCCUCAUGAGCAUAUACUUUUAAUCAUGAAAGCCAAAAGCAAGUUAAGGACCCCAGAUGACUAUGAUCGGGUGAUAUCUGCAGAGAUACCCGACAAGAAGAAAUAUCCCGUUCUCCAU
rnacentral:rRNA from 1 species